CAGGGAUAAAGACCAAUUUAGUGAUGAUGAUGAUGAUGAUGAUGAUGAUACACCAACCGUUCGUCCGGUCCAAAAACCAUUCGAUUAGUAAGAUCAAGAAUUUUGAAUUAGAUUAUUGAAGGCAAUGUCAAACUGCUACCUGAUACAGAAACUACAAGAACGCAUGUGCCAGCGAGAAAAUUCACCGAAAUCGAUGGAUUUAUAAUAAUGAUGCU